rnacentral:tRNA from 1 species
CGCUGAGAAGCUAAUAUAGGGACUAGCAUUAGCCUUUUAAGCUAAAGAUUGGUGGCUCCCAACCACCCUCAGCGA